rnacentral:lncRNA from 1 species
AUAUAUCAUGACCCAAUAAACAUCUCAAUGAUAUAGGUAGUGUGUUCAGGCCUUAGCAUAAGUAGAGCUUUGGCUGCAUACCAAAUAUAACUCCAACAGUAAGAAAUAAAUUGGAAAUACAAUGUUGUUCCCCAUCUAAAAACAUCACCAGCUGCCAGAGACUAUCCACCUACAUUCAAGCAAAUGAAACUUCCAUCAGUUAGGAUUGUAAAGAAUUUGAAUGAAGAAGCAAAUAAAAAGAUAUUUGCUUAAAUAAAUUUUUUUACAGGGCACAUUUCUGAAAACCAAGCCACUGAUUAAUUAGCAAUUUCGAGUACUUGUUGAGAGCUACUUAUUUCUUGAUGACAAUACUUCUUGUGGGGAGUCUCCCCCACCCUCUCAUCCUCCUCCUCCUCCAACUCCCACCACCGCUCCCUUCCACCACCGCUCUCUUCCCACCCCAUCUCGAAGAAAGCUUCCAAAAGAAAAAUAUUUUGUGACCAAAUUUUUUUAUCGAUAAAAAUCUGAAUUUUUUUAAUAUCAUCAAUUCAGAUCCAAUAUAUAUAGUGCGGUCAAAUAAAUAAAUCUAAACCACAAUUACAUAUGUAUACAGAUAAAUUGUAUAAAGAUAUUUUUGAGUUGGUGUGUAAAUUUAUUACAUCACAUUGUCGUUUAAUAUAUGAUAUGCUGGUUUAUAUUGCUUUUAAAGGUUUGUCUUGAAAAGAAACAAAAAGAAAAUCCUAAACUAC